GCGGAGGAAAAGAAACCAACAGGGAUUGCCCUAGUAACGGCGAGUGAAGCGGCAACAGCUCAAAUUUGAAAUCUGGCUUCGGCCCGAGUUGUAAUUUGUAGAGGAAGCUUUAGGCGCGGCACCUUCUGAGUCCCCUGGAACGGGGCGCCAUAGAGGGUGAGAGCCCCGUAUAGUUGGAUGCCUAGCCUGUGUAAAGCUCCUUCGACGAGUCGAGUAGUUUGGGAAUGCUGCUCAAAAUGGGAGGUAAAUUUCUUCUAAAGCUAAAUAUUGGCCAGAGACCGAUAGCGCACAAGUAGAGUGAUCGAAAGAUGAAAAGCACUUUGAAAAGAGGGUUAAAUAGCACGUGAAAUUGUUGAAAGGGAAGCGCUUGUGACCAGACUUGCGCCGGGCGGAUCAUCCGGUGUUCUCACCGGUGCACUCCGCCCGGCUCAGGCCAGCAUCGGUUCUCGUGGGGGGAUAAAGGCCCUGGGAACGUAGCUCCUCCGGGAGUGUUAUAGCCCAGGGUGUAAUGCCCUCGCGGGGACCGAGGUUCGCGCAUCUGCAAGGAUGCUGGCGUAAUGGUCAUCAGCGACCCGUCUUGAAACACGGACCAAGGAGUCAAGGUUUUGCGCGAGUGUUUGGGUGUUAAACCCGCACGCGUAAUGAAAGUGAACGUAGGUGAGAGCUUCGGCGCAUCAUCGACCGAUCCUGAUGUAUUCGGAUGGAUUUGAGUAGGAGCGUUAAGCCUUGGACCCGAAAGAUGGUGAACUAUGCUUGGAUAGGGUGAAGCCAGAGGAAACUCUGGUGGAGGCUCGCAGCGGUUCUGACGUGCAAAUCGAUCGUCAAAUCUGAGCAUGGGGGCGAAAGA
rnacentral:rRNA from 1 species